GCUGGUCAGGCGCCGCGCUCCGAGGCAAAGAUGCAAAUUGUGGCGAGCGUUUAUAAUCCAAAGAUCGUACGCCGACUCUCUAGCGAUGCGCCGCCGCUUGUUGUUAUUAGAUGUGAGGGUCUUAGUGGUACCGUAGUGAUGGAGCCACUAGUCAUCCCCGGUCAGACGGCGAUUUCCCUCAACCGUUUAAAGGAAAUGUCUACCGGCCGAUCAAAAAUACUACACCUGGGAUUGGGAGAUGUUAAACUAAGUUAUCCUCGUUAGCUUGUCUGGGAAAAAAAACCACCAUCCCAGAUCUGCUGUUGCCAUUUUUCUUAAGCCCUCCCUUAGGAGUUCACGAUGUUGACCGUUGAAAUGUUGGCAUACAACAAAAGGGAGAGAACCUUGAAUGAAGACGAGGUUCUGCCACUUUGCAAAUACUGACACCUACAGAAGAGAUUGUCAUCCACUUCGUCAGAGGAUACAGUCAGCAUUGGAGAUGGCAAGGCUGUAGACCAGGCACAACACGGUGUAUUGGCAUCUUUUCUUCCUGGUCUCUUUUUGUUUAACUGUUUCAAUCAUACAUUCGCAAUAGUGUCAUUUUUAUGAUGAUCAGUUACUGAUCGUCCAUGGAGCCUCUUUAACUGAUCUAUCUGUCUCUGGCUACAGGAGAACUAUUGAUCAAGCUGGGCUGAGAAAUAUAUUUUGCUCCCACAAGUUGCAUCCUAUUCUUCCUGCAACAUUUUUAAAAAUAUUUUGCAUUUUCUCCUCAGUCAUCCUUCCUCUUCUAUGCCAAGCAUCUUUGGCACCUGCUCCUAGAAUUUUGCCUUUUGGUAGCUUAAGAUACAUAUGGUAUUCGUGGAAUUCCAUUUAGAUUAAUAAUUAAUUAGAGAGAAGACUGUGAAAGGAUAAAUCACCUAAGAAUAGAGACAACAUAUAUAGGAUUUAUAGGGAUAGAUAAUAUAACUUUCCAAAAAAUGAUUGCAACUCCACAAUAAUUCUGUUUGUUACAACAAAGUUUGUUCCAACUUUAAUUUGAAUCAUUAGAACAUGUACCUUUUUUACAUGUUUUUUCAUAUACAAAUUUUAGACAAACCUACGUGUUCAAACUGUUUCUACAUCUUCAGUCAAAAGACUAAGAUCUCUGAAUCCAGUUGCGAAACAAAUACUUGCAAAGCACUGACUUUGUGAUUUGAUGAUUGCUUAAACAAGGAUAUGGCAAUUGUGGAUUUGUUAACAGUGAAUUCAAGUAGGAUAAGUGUAACUCAGCAAUAGCCUUCUGAUGCUCAUACAAUUAAAUACCUUUAAAUCAGAAAUGUUUGCAGUUCUCCUGCAUUGUCAAGUUUCAGGACCUUUAACACAUUUUUCUACAGAAAAGAUUUCAAAUACAAGGCACUUUUAAGUGUUAUGUUUCAAAGCAUAGUUUAUUCGCACAAGUUUAUAAAAAGCCAAUGAGACAAUAAGUGGUUAAAAUGAUAAUGAACUACUUUUUUUUGCGAUAGAUUGUCAGAUGAUAAUUGUGACUCGGUGGUAUCUCGCUCACUUCAGCUUUAGACGGUCAUGGGUCAAGACCCAUGCCAGAGAUUUGAAGCCCAAAAUUUAUGCUGUCACCCAAGUCAGCUGCAGUCUUUUGGAUGAUAAUUACAUUGAAUUUACAGUACAGAAACAUGCCAUUCAGCUGGUCAAUGUUAUUGUUUAUGCUCCACGGAAACCUCAUCACAUCCCACUUUAUCUGACCAUGUUUUUUUUUCUAUUCCUUUCUAUUCCUUUCUCACUCAUUUACUUGUCUAGUUUCCCUUUAAAUGCAUCUUUGCUAUUUGCCUCAGCUAAUCCAUGAGGCACAUAGUACCAGAUUCUAAUCACUCUAUGGUUUAAGAAGUUUUUCCUGAAUUCCUUAUUGGAUUAGUUACUGCCUUAUAAUGAUAGCUCACAAGUAGAAACAUUAAACCAGGGUCUAGUCUGUUCUCUUAGGUGAGCAUAAAAGAUUCCAUAGCACAGUUUCAAAGAGAGCAGGGGAGUUCUCCCAUGUUUCCUACCAAUAUUUAUACCUCAACCAACAUCACAAAAACAGAUUAUCUACAUUAGGUUCCUGAUUGCCAUAUUUAAGAGGCCUAAAGCUUGUUACAGGUGGGCACCCUCAGCAACUAAGAAUCGGCCAAACUGAAAUGGUGACAAAAACAAAAAAACUGCGGAUGCUGGAAAUCCAAAACAAAAACAGAAUUACCUGGAAAAACUCAGCAGGUCUGGCAGCAUCGGCGGAGAAGAAAAGAGUUGACGUUUCGAGUCCUCAUGACCCUUCGACAGAAAUGGUGACUGUUGAACUUUGGGAGCAAAUCAGUUUUGGUGAGCAAGGCUGAACAGCUUUCCAUCAGUUCUGAGAUGUAAGUAGACACCCUGUGUAGAUGACCUGAAGGCAUAUGACACGAGCAAGGAGAAGAAUAUGCCAAAGAAUGUCAGUGCAAGAACAAUACCUGUUUGACCCCACUGCAGAUCGCAAAGGGUUCUGAUGUUGCCCGUCGUAGCUGACCUUACUCAUCAUGGUGUCACGCCCUUCCACGGACAGAUACACCUAAAGCCUCUUGGAAAUACAUAAUGGGCGAAGUAUCUCAAGGCAAGACUGCCCAGCCAUGAAAGAGAUUGCAAGUGACACAAGCAGUGUCAAGAACAUCUUCAGCAGAGAAAACAGGCUGAAGGCUGCUCUUCCUUCCUUUUUGGAAUAAGUGUCUUUCAGUUCGCGAAGCCAACUUUACCAGAAACCUACCAGUGAAACGAGAUCUCAUAAUAAUUCUUCUAACAUAACAUCUUCUACAUUUGACUGCAUUCAAGAAACAAGCUAACCUAAAUCG